rnacentral:rRNA from 1 species
GUGUCAGCAGCCGCGGUAAGACGAACCGAGCGAACGUUGUUCGGAAUCACUGGGCUUAAAGGGCGCGUAGGCGGGCUGCCGCGUCCGGGGUGAAAUCCCACGGCUCAACCGUGGAACGGCCCCGGGUACGGGCGGCCUCGAGGGGGGUAGGGGCGUGCGGAACUGUGGGUGGAGCGGUGAAAUGCGUUGAUAUCCACAGGAACUCCGGUGGCGAAGGCGGCACGCUGGACCCCCACUGACGCUGAGGCGCGAAAGCCAGGGGAGCGAACGGGAUUAGAUACCCCGGUAGUCC